CUGCUCACUUCAGCAGCACAGAUACUAAAAAUUGAAAUGAUACAGAGAUGAUUAACAUGGCCCUUGCAUGAGUAUGAACUGACAUCAUCAAAAUGUGGUGGUACAUACCUUU
ensembl:snRNA U6 U6 spliceosomal RNA